rnacentral:rRNA from 1 species
UACGGGGGGGGGUAAGCGUUGUUCGGAAUUACUGGGCGUAAAGGGCUCGUAGGCGGCCAACUAAGUCAUACGUGAAAUCCCUCAGCUUAACUGGGGAACUGCGUGUGAUACUGGAUGGCUUGGAUUUGGGAGAGGGAUGCGGAAUUCCAGGUGUAGCGGUGAAAUGCGUAGAUAUCUGGAGGAACACCGGUGGCGAAGGCGGCAUCCUGGACCAAUAUUGACGCUGAGGCGCGAAAGCUAGGGGAGCAAACGGG